AUGAAAAUAAAAUGGGUGGAUGAGAUUAAUCAUAAACCCAAAUUGAGGACCUUUUGUUUGAUUAAGGGUGAAUUUGUGUGUGAGAGAUAUAUAUUAUGUAUAACCUUCCUAACAGCAAGAGAUCGCUAUGUGCACAGGUAUGAUCAGGGAUAUUGCCUCUGCGUAUUGAAACAGGUAAGAUCAGGGAUAUUGCCCCUGCGUGAAACAGGUCAGAUCAGGGAUAUUGCCUCUGCUUAUUGAAACAGGUCAGAUCAGGGAUAUUGCCCCUGCGUGAAACAGGUCUGAUCAGGGAUAUUGUCUCUGCGUAUUGAAACAGGUCGGUAUUGUGGUGAAAUGGAAGAGGAAAGACUAUGUAACUAUUGUGACCUCGAAGAAAGAGAGAAUGAAACUCAUUUUACCCUCUAUUGCCCUUUCUACCACUAUAUACGCUUGCUCUUAUUUCAGAAAGCACACCAGAUAUACCCUGACAUUAUGUGGCUGAGCGAUGAGGAGAAACUGAAAUAGUUUUUUUGUCCAUUGUGUAUUUCCUUUUGCGGAAUAUUUAGAUAAAGCCUGGAAUUAAAGAAAAAGGGCGACUUGUAAUUAAAUUGUUAAAAUAUUUUGCUUCUAUGUGGUAAAUGGUACGUGUGUAUAUAGAUUGUUUAUAGGCUUGUCUCCCAUAUGAAUCUUCUAUGUGGUAAAUGGUACGUGUGUAUAUAGAUUGUUUAUAGGCUUGUCUCCCAUAUGAAUCUUCUAUGUGGUAAAUGGUACGUGUGUAUAUAGAUUGUGUAUAGGCUUGUCUCCCAUAUGAAUCUUCUAUGUGGUAAAUGGUACGUGUGUAUAUAGAUUGUGUAUAGGCUUGUCUCCCAUAUGAAUCUUCUAUGUGGUAAAUGGUACGUGUGUAUAUAGAUUGUUUAUAGGCUUGUCUCCCAUAUGAAUCUUCUAUGUGGUAAAUGGUACGUGUGUAUAUAGAUUGUGUAUAGGCUUGUCUCCCAUAUGAAUCUUCUCUUUGUGCCAGACUGGGAUCAAAUGCCUUUUGUUUAUUUUUUUCUGUAUUUAUUUAUGUAUGUGUGUAUUAUUGUAUAUAUUAUUUUACUGCUCUAUGGAUAUAAUCAUUUUUUGUAUAACCUUAUGUACUAUUAUGUAUUGAUUUGUACCUCUUUAUGCGAUGCGCAAUGCAGAGAACACCAGAAGAAGAAUUAUCAUUGAAUUACCACAGUGAAUUAUUGUCAUGUUUAUUUAUGG
rnacentral:lncRNA from 13 species